GACGAACGCUGGCGGCGUGCUUAACACAUGCAAGUCGAACGGAAAGGCCCUGCUUUUGUGGGGUGCUCGAGUGGCGAACGGAUGAGUAACACGUGAGUAACCUGCCCUUGACUUUGGGAUAACUUCAGGCAACUGGGGCUAAUACCGGAUAGGAGCUCCUGCUGCAUGGUGGGGGUUGGAAAGUUUCGGCGGUUGGGGAUUGACUCGCGGCUUAUCAGCUUGUUGGUGGGGUAGUGGCUUACCAAGGCUUUGACGGGUAGCCGGGCUGAGAGGGUGACCGGCCACAUUGGGACUGAGAUACUGCCCAGACUCCUACGGGAGGCAGCAGUGGGGAAUAUUGCACAAUGGGCGGAAGCCUGAUGCAGCAACGCCGCGUGCGGGAUGACGGCCUUCGUGUUGUAAACCUCUUUCGCCUGUGACGAAGCGUGAGUGACGGUAAUGGGUAAAGAAGCACCGGCUAACUACGUG
rnacentral:rRNA from 1 species